rnacentral:rRNA from 1 species
GAUGAACGCUGGCGGCGUGCCUAAUACAUGCAAGUCGAGCGAACGGACGAGAAGCUUGCUUCUCUGAUGUUAGCGGCGGACGGGUGAGUAACACGUGGAUAACCUACCUAUAAGACUGGGAUAACUUCGGGAAACCGGAGCUAAUACCGGAUAAUAUUUUGAACCGCAUGGUUCAAAAGUGAAAGACGGUCUUGCUGUCACUUAUAGAUGGAUCCGCGCUGCAUUAGCUAGUUGGUAAGGUAACGGCUUACCAAGGCAACGAUGCAUAGCCGACCUGAGAGGGUGAUCGGCCACACUGGAACUGAGACGCGGUCCAGACUCCUACGGGAGGCAGCAGUAGGGAAUCUUCCGCAAUGGGCGAAAGCCUGACGGAGCAACGCCGCGUGAGUGAUGAAGGUCUUCGGAUCGUAAAGCUCUGUUAUUAGGGAAGAACAUAUGUGUAAGUAACUGUGCACAUCUUGACGGUACCUAAUCAGAAAGCCACGGCUAACUACGUG